rnacentral:tRNA from 1 species
GCCGAAGUAGCUCAGCUGGUAGAGCAACGCAUUCGUAACGCGUAGGUCGUGGGUUCGAUUCCCACCUUCGGCUCCA